CGUACCUUUAGUUUGCUUAAAUUUUUUCAUUCAUGUCCUUAGUGGCAGAAAUUGCUAUGUGAAUUCUGGUCACUGGAAUGUGGAUUAAAUUGACAUAUGGGAUGUCCAGCCCAGCCUUGCCCCUAAAUUCAGUGUCCUUCCGCCUCAAUGUCCUUCCCCUCAAAAUUCUCCAUACUCAUUUCCCCAUUUGACAUGGCUGGAAUAAAGAUGGAAACGACCUCAUAUCAAUUUUGGAAGCCAUGUAUUGGAGAUAGGGGAGCCACAGUGAUACAGACAGGGGGCGACCAAGGGUCCCCGGCAAAACCCGCCUUCAAGCCUAAAACAGCCUGAAGGCCGAAAAAUCGGAUUACUGACCUGGAGAAAUCUCCCAUUGGCCUACGCGCUGGGAGGAAGCGGUGGGGCCUCGGGAAGCUGCCGCUGUUUGCAUGGGGAGGAGUCGGCCCCUCCCGUUCCUGUGCGGUAACCGGCAAGUUAGUCUGUGACGUGGGGGCCUGUUAACAGGAGCCCCUCUCACUCAGGAGCCCCUCUCACUUUGUUGAGAAUCUUUUUCCUUUUCACCCAAUACAUUCCGUAACUUCUCACCCUUCAAAGUGUCUCCGUGCCUAAUCUUUCCUCGUCGUGUCGCAAGAACCGAGUUUUUCCUACAAGAAGAAGGAAGUAACCUGGGUCCCUGAAUUUCUUUUU
rnacentral:lncRNA from 10 species